CCCCUUCUAAACCCUUAAUUUUUCCCCAAUUGCUUCCUCCCAUCCGCGUUUCUCUCCUAAAUUUUCCCCAUUCCUCCUGUGCGCGUUUCUUCCCAUUCCGGCCAUCUUAAGUCUCGUUGCCACCACUUCCCUCCUCAUGCCCGUCCGUCCAAACCUCCUCCUCCUCGUCACCAACACCCCGUCGCCACCACUCUAUCUUCUCCAAACCUCCGCAAUCAACUUGAAGCUUCAAAUCGUGGACAUCGGUCGUCACCCCUCCGUCGGUGGAGCCACCAUGUUGCUGAUGCCACCAAGUUGCUGACUGAUUUAGAAGAAUUGUGAUUUAAAAUUAUCCUUAUUUCUAAUGCCACCAUGUUGCUGGACUAAAAGAAACAUAAUAAAUCACUUGUUUAUAUAAGAUAAAUCAUUUGUUGGACUAAGGAUUUUGCUCGGACCCUCUUCAUCUACUAGGUACUUUUCUCUCUGUCUUUCAAAGCUAUUAAACACUCAAAGUUAGUCACUGAAUCCUCCACCCCAUUUAGACCCCUUCUGUUUUUGUAUUUCAAAAUCAACUUUGGUUUUUUUUUUUUUUUUUUUAAAUUUUGGAUUCAAUAUUUAUGAGUAAUGAAUACAAACAUUGGGCAAAUUGAUUCGCCCAGAUUUGGUCAUCUUGGCUACCGAAUAUAGAGGGGAUUUGAAGUAUAAAGAUUACAUAUUCAAUGUUAAAUAUGUAGAAAACAUUAUGUUUGUCAUUGUUCUAAAAGAACGUUCUGUUAGUAAGAUGAAUAGAUAACUCUUGAAGGUUCAAAUUUAAUAUUUAAACGGUAAUUCAUUUGUGGUUGGAGGGGAUCAAACCUCUACAACCUUUGGAGAGACAUGUCAUUUACCAUCAAGUUAUACUCUUUUUUAGAUAUAAGUAAGCUGCAAUAAUUGUGGAACGUUUGCUCAUUUUCCCUCUCUUACACUUUCUAGCAUGAUCAUUGCGACAGAUUGUGGUUUGUUAUUGAUACAACUUUCUUUUUCCUUUUAGUUGGGCUCUUUAUUCAUUGGAACUUCAUUUUGUGCCGAUAUUGUGUAAUUCAUUUGGUAGAACUUUUGGGAAAAAAAUUUCUUCUAUAAUAUAACAAGCUAAAGACAAGAUCAACCUCCCAAGAUCCUAGCUAAAAGGUUCAACCGGAGUCGACAACUUCAUGAGUUUUCUUUCAAAGAACAUUUUCAGAGACGAACA